UACGGGGGGAGCAAACGUUGUUCGGAAUCACUGGGCGUAAAGCGCACGUAGGCGGCUCUUUAAGUCAGGGGUGAAAUCCUGGAGCUCAACUCCAGAACUGCCUUUGAUACUGAAGAUCUUGAGUUCGGGAGAGGUGAGUGGAACUGCGAGUGUAGAGGUGAAAUUCGUAGAUAUUCGCAAGAACACCAGUGGCGAAGGCGGCUCACUGGCCCGAUACUGACGCUGAGGCACGAAAGCGUGGGGAGCAAACAGG
rnacentral:rRNA from 1 species